GGCCCUACCUCGACCGGAGGCGUCGUCAGGGGCGGCCGGCCGGAGCCGUCAGCGGGGCGCGGCCGCUUUGCUGGUGUCCCCUCCGUUAGCGGGCGUUACCGGGCGAGCGCGGCCGUUAGUCCGUUCGCCUCAGCUGCGCCUCCGAGGAGGGAGAGCCCCCGCGGGGCGGCAGGCGCGGGCUCGGCCAAGGUGGCUGGCCUCAAGAUGUCCUGGCUAACGAGGGGAGGGAAGUCGAAGGAGAAGGAGGAGGCGGAGAGCCCCCCGAGCCAGGAGGAGCGGGGUGUGCUGGUGCAGGCCAUGCUGGAGCACGGCGGCGACCCGUGGGACUGUCGGGUGGUCGGGCAGGAGCCCUCCCUGAAGGCGGCGGAGAGGCACUGGCUGAACUACGUGUCGUCCUACCACCCCAAGGGGGAGAAGAAGUGCUCGGCCCUGCAGUGGCUCUUGUUCCACCUGGCCCGGGCCUUGCAGGCGGCGGUGGAGGAGAAGGAGCAGUGCAUCCAGAACCUGCAGAACAGUCUGCAGGUGGCUCGCAACGAGGUCCUGGCCCUGCGGUGCGACAGCUCGCAGCUGAGCGAGCAGGCCGAGCAGCUGGGCAAGCUGAGGGAAGAGCUGCGGGCCGAGGCGGCCGAGAACGCCUGCCUGAGGAGGAAGGUGCAGUGCUUGGGCACCCUGCUCUCCCUGGGGAAGGGCUUAGACCAGAGGAAGGUGGCGGCGCUCAACCGAGGAACUCAUGACAUCUGUCUGGGAGCUGAGAGGCCUCUUUGGGAUGAGGUGACAGCAUACAGAAGGGACCUGAGAAACCAGAGAGCAGACAAGAAGUUGCAAGCCUGAGGAUGGCCUUGGCGAGUACGGAACUGUCAGAACCAGAGCCUGAAACUGUGAACUGUACAUCGUUGGUAUCACAUUGCCAUGGGCUGGUUUCCAAAAGCCACUGCUUUGCAGCACUUAAUGCACUUAAUCCUAUACUUGUUAUUAGUUAUGAUAGAAGUUAUGAUGUUCUUUAUUCUUCUAUAUAUGAUUUGCUUGUUUCAGAAGGGAAGAGUGUGCUCACAUGCCUGGUUGAACAUCUUAUGUGCAUUGCUGGCCUAACAGUUGUGGUGGCUUCCAGCCAGAAGGGAUUGAGUUCAUGAGCACCCAAAGUGGUCUGAAUGUCCUCGGAAGAGGUCAGACAGACCAGGGGGUGGCUUGUGAGCGAGAGGUCCCGCUGGAGCACGCAGCCCCAGAGAGCUGAGGCCCCAGCAGUGCUGGCAGAAGGGAGACAAACAAGUGCCUCUGCUGCUGCUCUCCGGUAUGUAAACUGCCAGAUAAGGCCCUGUGAGGGCUUGGCCAGCUUGCACGGGGAUCAAGGCUAAUGUGGAAUAGCUGUGUCUAGUAUUCACAGGAGGUAACCUACACCCAAGGGGACAGCUACAAGGGGGCCAGGCUGCCCGUGGUGGGUGUCCCUGCCGGUAACACCCUGUAAGGCUGUGACUGCUGGGGUAACAGCAUCGGAAAUAUGGCAGUUAGGUAUGGCUGUAGCAAAACCAGGACCAAUUGGGAGGAAGUAAUCGGGGACAGGUUGUUUAUUUGGGAAGAAUUUGGGUGGAGGAGAGGAGGUAGCAAAAAGGUGGAUCCUGGUGCUGAAGAAUGAGGUACGAAAUCCAAGGAAGAAGCCCAGAGGGUUCCUGCUGACAGUUGGACACCUAUGGCCGGUAGCAAAACUGAGCUGCAGACUCAAGCCCUGGGAGGCUGGAAGGCAUCACCUGGGAUAACCCACUGGACUUGCUCCAUCAGGUCUCUGGCUGUACAUCAUGGUGUGGGAGGAUGAAUCAAGGUGCAACCUUGGGACUUACAAAACUGUCACUGAGGGUUGGCAGUGCAUGACACUCAUUAGAUCUGAGAUUGAGAGCUCAUAACUUCAUAGAUGUGCCUUAUGGUUUGCAUAAAUAUGUAACUUGAUGACUGGGAUGGGACUUAGGUUAUUAUCUUUCUAUUCUGCUAGUUUCCUCAGCAUGUGUUCACCAGUCAAUAAACAGUGUGCCUCAGUUAUGUCUUGGUAACUG
rnacentral:lncRNA from 1 species